CUGGUUGAUCCUGCCAGUAGUCAUAUGCUUGUCUCAAAGACUAAGCCAUGCAUGUCUAAGUAUAAAGGUUAUACAAUGAAACUGCGAAUGGCUCAUUAAAACAGUUAUAGUUUAUUUGAUAAUCGAAAUUACAUGGAUAACCGUGGUAAUUCUAGAGCUAAUACAUGCUGGUUAGCCUGACUUCUAGGAAGGGCUGUAUUUAUUAGAUAACAAAUCAAUAUUCCUUGUGUCUAUUGUGACGACUCAUAAUAACUGAUCGAAUCGCAUGGACUUUGUCCGCGAUAAAUCAUUCAAGUUUCUGCCCCAUCAGCUUUUGAUGGUAGUGUAUUGGACUACCAUGGCUUUUAUGGGUAACGGAGGAUUAGGGUUCGAUUCCGGAGAGGGAGCCUGAGAAACGGCUACCACAUCUAAGGAAGGCAGCAGGCGCGUAAAUUACCCAAUCCUGACUCAGGGAGGUAGUGACAAGAAAUAACGGACCGAGGCUUUGCUUCGGGAUUGCAAUGAGUAGAAUUUAAACCCCUUUACGAGGAUCAAUUGGAGGGCAAGUCUGGUGCCA
rnacentral:rRNA from 1 species